rnacentral:tmRNA from 1 species
UGCACCCGGCUCCUGGUCGAAAAUUAAUUGCGAUCAAAGCAUGUAGACGGUAUCUCGAUACCUUAUCUGGACGAGGGUUCGACUCCCUCCAGCUCCACCU